AGGGGACUGAGGGGUUAGACAGGCUGAAGAGAUCCUAAAGAUGACUCUAUUCUUUUAUUCUCUAAAAUUAGACUUUCUGUUUAUUGUCCAGACAGUGAAAUGAUGGCCCAUCAAGGGAUGAAAGAUACCUGAGGUCAGGCUGUGGGUGGAGUCGCAUUAGUACUGAAAUUUCAAAGUGCCAACUCAUCCAGCCUUGUCACAUAGCUCCCUCUUUUUGGAUCUGGAGGCAGCUAAGUGAAAUUGUUUUGAAAAAAUAAAGUAGGCAUGAAGAAACACAGAAUCUCUUGCCUGCUCUUCUUCUCGUUUCUGUGCCCCACACUAAUGCAAUUGGG
rnacentral:lncRNA from 1 species